UCAGUUUUUUUUUCUAAAUUCUAACACAAAUUGUAACGCAGACAAAGGUUGAUUAAACAAACAAAAUGUUUAUUGGCAGCUUGGAUAAUCUGCUUAUACACUCUGUUAAACACAUCACUCAGAAUCCUGAACCUCUACAAUACUGAACAACUGGCAAUGGCAUUACAUGCAUGACAGAUGUUAUUUGAUGCUAUUUGUUUCUUGUGGUUACUGUAAUGAAUUACAUUGUCAUGGUCAUUAUCAGGGACUGUCAACCAGCCUGUGCCUCAACAAACAUACCCCAUUGCAAGACUCAUUUGUGUCCGUGGCAAAAUGUUUUGACUGAGAAAAAAACUAUGUAAUCUACAUUUUAAAAGCCAUGUCAAUGGUAAAAAUUGUAUUUCAGUCAAAAUGUCCAUCAGAAUUCACCAUGAUGAUAGCCCAUAGCCAUUAUAUCAGACAUCUGUCAAAACCUGUGUAAAAGGAAGCUAAUGUCUUACAUUGUCCAUGUGGGAAUGUUUAAGAGUUUGAUGAGUACUUAAGUAUGUAGACUGCUGGUUGACCAUAAGUUUAUUUGGUUGCAUGAAAAUUAGUCAUGAACUGAAAAGUAAAUACCACUUUAUGGUCAGUCGAUUAUCUGUUUCACUAGCCCUGUCAAUAGUAAAUUUACUAACAGAUGUUUUCAUUUUGGGAUCACAUGGCACUCAGGAGAUGGAAGACUGGUCAUAUUCAUCUGGUUCCUUUGGAUCAUACAAAGACAAGGGAUCACGUGACAAUGAGGAGACUGAAGCAUUGUCCCCCACUGAUCCCAAUGGACCAAACACAGAGGAGGGAUCACAUGACAAUCAGGAGAUGGAGGCAUCAUUAUCUGCUGAUCACAAUGAACCAAACACAGAGGAGGUAUUACUGGGAGAGAAGAACACAGAAGUCUGAAGGAUCUAUGGAGUUUAAUUUUAUAUUUUUGCCUGCAGUCCCAAGUUUACCGGGUCCUGUUGGAUCAACCAGUUACUUGUGUUAGCAGUCAUUAGACUAUUGAUGCUCUUUUACAGUUGACUAUCUAGACCACCUGCUGGUCAAACGGGGAAGGGGCACGGAAGGACCACAGUGGGGGGCUGACCCUGACAAAAAUAUAGCAAGGAAAUCAACAAGUUUAACAGUGUUCUUUUAUGACUUAAAACAACAGAUCAUCUCUCUGUCUAUGUUGAGUGAGUCAGGUGAUUAAAUUGAUUUGUUCCA